UACGUAGGGGGCUAGCGUUGUCCGGAAUCAUUGGGCGUAAAGCGCGUGUAGGCGGCCCGGUAAGUCCGCUGUGAAAGUCGGGGGCUCAACCCUCGGAUGCCGGUGGAUACUGUCGGGCUCGAGUACGGAAGAGGCGAGUGGAAUUCCUGGUGUAGCGGUGAAAUGCGCAGAGUAUCAGGAGGAACACCGAUUGCGAAGGCAGCUCGCUGGGACGUUACUGACGCUGAGACGCGAAAGCGUGGGGAGCAAACAGG
rnacentral:rRNA from 1 species